UACGGGGGGAGCAAGCGUUGUUCGGAUUUACUGGGCGUAAAGGGCGCGUAGGCGGCCACCGCAAGUCAAUUGUGAAAUCUCCGGGCUUAACUCGGAAAGGUCAACUGAUACUGCGGGGCUAGAGUGCGGAAGGGGCAACUGGAAUUCUCGGUGUAGCGGUGAAAUGCGUAGAUAUUGGGAGGAACACCAGUGGCGAAGGCGGUCCCCUGGGCCGGAACUGACGCUGAGGCGCGAAAGCGUGGGUAGCAAACGGG
rnacentral:rRNA from 1 species